CCUACGGGAGGCAGCAGUAGGGAAUAUUGGUCAAUGGGUGAGAGCCUGAACCAGCCAUGCCGCGUGCAGGAAGAAGGCCUUCUGGGUUGUAAACUGCUUUCGCCAGGGGAUAAAAAUACCUUGCGAGGUAAAUUGAAGGUACCUGGUGAAUAAGCCACGGCUAACUACGUGCCAGCAGCCGCGGUAAUACGUAGGUGGCAAGCGUUGUCCGGAUUUAUUGGGUUUAAAGGGUGCGUAGGCGGCCCUGUAAGUCAGUGCUGAAAUAUCCCAGCUUAACUGGGAGGGUGGCAUUGAUACUGCGGGGCUAGAGUACAGAUGAGGUAGGCGGAAUUGACGGUGUAGCGGUGAAAUGCUUAGAUAUCGUCAAGAACACCUAUAGCGAAGGCAGCUUACUAGGCUGUAACUGACGCUGAGGCACGAAAGUGUGGGGAUCAAACAGGAUUAGAUACCCUGGUAGUCCACACUGUAAGCGUUGAUUACUCGCUGUGUGCGAUAUACAGUACGCGGCCAAGCGAAAGCGCUAAGUAAUCCACCUGGGGAGUACGCCGGCAACGGUGAAACUCAAAGGAAUUGACGG
rnacentral:rRNA from 1 species